rnacentral:miRNA from 1 species
AACAUGAUCAUCCGAAUGAU